rnacentral:rRNA from 1 species
AAUGAACGUUGGCGGCGUGGAUUAGGCAUGCAAGUCGAGCGAGAAUCGUAGCAAUACGAGGACAGCGGCGAAAGGGAGAGGAAUACGUAGAUAUCUGCCCCUGAGACCGGGAUAGCGUCGGGAAACUGGCAGUAAUACCGGAUAACGUCUUUGGACCAAAGGUGUGAUUCCGCUCGGGGAUGAGUCUACGCCCUAUUAGCUAGUUGGUGGGGUAAUGGCCUACCAAGGCGAUGAUGGGUAGCGGGUGUGAGAGCAUGAUCCGCCUCACUGGGACUGAGAACUGCCCAGACACCUACGGGUGGCUGCAGUCGAGAAUCUUUGUCAAUGGACGAAAGUCUGAACAAGCGACGCCGCGUGCGGGAUGAAGGCCUUCGGGUUGUAAACCGCUGUCGUAGGGGAACAAAUGUAGAGGGGUUCUCCCCUUUAUUUGAGUGAUCCUAGGAGGAAGGAGAGGCUAAGCUCGUG